rnacentral:rRNA from 1 species
AGUGAAUAGAUACCCCGGUAGUCCUGGCUGUAAACGAUGUGCGUUAGGUGUCGGUAGGGCUAGGAGCCGUGCCGGUGCCGCAGAGAAAUCGUUAAACGCACCGCCUGGGAAGUACGCUCGCAAGAGUGAAACUUAAAGGAAUUGGCGGGGGAGCACCACAAGGGGUGAAGCCUGCGGUUCAAUUGGACUCAACGCCGGGAAGCUUACCAGGGGCGACAGCAGAAUGAAGGUCAGGCUGACGACCUUACCAGACAAGCUGAGCGGAGGUGCAUGGCCGUCGCCAGUUCGUGCCGUGAGGUAUCCUGUUAAGUCAGGCAACGAACGAGACCCACACGCUUAGUUGCCAGCAACCGUCUUCGGAUGGGUUGGGAACGCUAAGUGAACCGCCGUCGUACAGACGGAGGAAGGGGUGGGCCACGGCAGGUCAGUAUGCCCCUAAUCCCCUGGGCCACACGCGGGCUGCAAUGGUAGGGACAGUGGGCUGCAACACCGAAAGGUGGAGCCAAUCUCCAAACCCGUAUCUCAGUUAGGAUUGUCGGCUGCAACUC